rnacentral:lncRNA from 1 species
AAUUAACAUAAUGUUGGAUUAAAAUUAAAUAAAACUAAAUAAAUUAAACAAAAUAAAUUGUAUAAACUAAAUAAAUUGAAAUUAACUAAACUAAAUAAAAUAAAAUAAAUCCAGGAAGUGCAAAAGGAAUUGGGGGGACGUAACGGGGUCCAAAUGACCCAAAACUCUCAACACACACCAACGAGAGGUGUGUGGAGAAUAAAUGGAGGGUGUUACAAGGCCCAAUUGACCCAAAGUUAGACAACCCUAAUUAAUCUUUUAAAAUAAACUAAAAUGAUAAUUACAAAAAAAAAUAAAAAAAAAAUAAACCAAAAUUUAUAAACCGAAAAAGAAAAAGAGAAAAUACUAAUAAAACAAACGUGAACACAAUCAUCUUC